CAGCAGCCGCGGGAAUACGUAGGGCGCAAGCGUUGUCCGGAAUUAUUGGGCGUAAAGAGCUCGUAGGCGGUCUGUCGCGUCUGGUGUGAAAUCCCGAGGCUCAACCUCGGGCUUGCAUCGGGUACGGGCAGACUAGAGUGCGGUAGGGGAGACUGGAAUUCCUGGUGUAGCGGUGGAAUGCGCAGAUAUCAGGAGGAACACCGAUGGCGAAGGCAGGUCUCUGGGCCGCAACUGACGCUGAGGAGCGAAAGCAUGGGGAGCGAACAGGAUUAGAUACCCCGGUAGUCCCUGUCUCUUAUAC
rnacentral:rRNA from 1 species